CUAUGUGUUGUUGGGUAGGGGAGCGUUCUGUAAGCCUGUGAAGGUGUACUGUGAGGUAUGCUGGAGGUAUCAGAAGUGCGAAUGCUGACAUAAGUAACGAUAAAGCGGGUGAAAAGCCCGCUCGCCGGAAGACCAAGGGUUCCUGUCCAACGUUAAUCGGGGCAGGGUGAGUCGACCCCUAAGGCGAGGCCGAAAGGCGUAGUCGAUGGGAAACAGGUUAAUAUUCCUGUACUUGGUGUUACUGCGAAGGGGGGACGGAGAAGGCUAUGUUGGCCGGGCGACGGUUGUCCCGGUUUAAGCGUGUAGGCUGGUUUUCCAGGCAAAUCCGGAAAAUCAAGGCUGAGGCGUGAUGACGAGGCACUACGGUGCUGAAGCAACAAAUGCCCUGCUUCCAGGAAAAGCCUCUAAGCAUCAGGUAACAUCAAAUCGUACCCCAAACCGACACAGGUGGUCAGGUAGAGAAUACCAAGGCGCUUGAGAGAACUCGGGUGAAGGAACUAGGCAAAAUGGUGCCGUAACUUCGGGAGAAGGCACGCUGAUAUGUAGGUGAAGCGACUUGCUCGUGGAGCUGAAAUCAGUCGAAGAUACCAGCUGGCUGCAACUGUUUAUUAAAAACACAGCACUGUGCAAACACGAAAGUGGACGUAUACGGUGUGACGCCUGCCCGGUGC
rnacentral:rRNA from 1 species